ensembl:snoRNA SNORD22 Small nucleolar RNA SNORD22
UCUCAGUGAAGAAACAUUCAUGCAUCUUACCUCCUGUCAGAGUCCCAGAGCAUGUAAAGGUGAACCCACUGGGGCUGGCCAGGGUAGAAGAGGAAAGCUUUUUCCAGAAGCAACUGUCUGAGGAAU